UUUAAUAUGAUGAAAGAUGUCACUGAAAGUGUGGUUCACUCUAUUUUUGAGAGAAUCGUCACUAAAAAGGAUGUUCGCUUUAGCGAGGCAUUUGUCUGAUUAAAAU